rnacentral:rRNA from 1 species
UAAGGAAUAUUGGUCAAUGGACGAAAGUCUGAACCAGCCAUGCCGCGUGGAGGAUGAAGGCCCUCUGGGUUGUAAACUUCUUUUAUUUGGGAAGAAAUCUGUGUUUUCUAACGCAGUUGACGGUACCAGAUGAAUAAGCACCGGCUAACUCCGUGCCAGCAGCCGCGGUAAUACGGAGGGUGCAAGCGUUAUCCGGAUUCACUGGGUUUAAAGGGUGCGUAGGCGGGCAGGUAAGUCAGUGGUGAAAUCUUCGAGCUCAACUCGGAAACUGCCGUUGAUACUAUCUGUCUUGAAUAUCGUGGAGGUGAGCGGAAUAUGUCAUGUAGCGGUGAAAUGCUUAGAGAUGACAUAGAACACCGAUUGCGAAGGCAGCUCACUACACGAACAUUGACGCUGAGGCACGAAAGCGUGGGGAUCAAACAGGAUUAGAUACCCGCGUAGUCC